UCUUUUUAAUUGACAUAGACCAAGUCCUCUAGUAAAAUGAGGAUGAUGCAUCGGGAAUAGCC
rnacentral:tRNA from 2 species